UAUAUAUAUAUAUAUAUAUAUAUAUCUUUAGCUUUUGUAUGUAUGAUUAAUGAUUAUGUGAAUAAUAUGUUUAUCAAAUUUUUGUUUUCAUUCAAAUAGAUUUUUAUUAUCAUCAUAUGAUAAAAAAUAAAAUGAUGAAUCAUGUAAUUAAGAAUUAUAAUAUUCUUAUACAUUCAUCAAUAUAUAUUGUUAUCCUUAGAAAUCCCGUUCGAGAACCAUUAUGUUACGACUGUGUCUAACAAUAUGGUUUUCGAAUUGUCCCAUAUUUGGACAAUUUGGGAGCAUAUGACAUUGAGAUUCCGUUUGUUGUUGGUGCGUUUCGUUUUCGAUUGUGGGUAUAUAUAUUUCGACAAGAUCUUCCUUUAAUUAUUGUUCCUCGAGUGCAUUCUAGGUAUAGAUAUUUGUGCACUUGGGGAACUGUAGGGAGAUGCUGCCGAAAUUUUCUCACAUAUGCGAAUUCGAAACGCCCCAACAACAAACGAAAUGACAAUGUCAUAUGCUCUCAAAUGGGAUUAGGGCCCUAACCGGAGGUAUAAGGUGAAGAAUAUUAUUGGGGUAGUAAUUAAACUCUCAAGUAUGGAAAAUGAUUGGAAAAUUAUACUCAUAUAUAUAUAAAGUGUGGAAAAUUAUUGGGGGUCAGUAAUUUUCUGUAUUUCUUGAUACAACACAUCCCCCUUCCUUUAUUUUCUUCCAGUUUGAUACUUGGAUGUUUGUUAUACUCUUUCCAGGUCUUUUCUUUUAUCUGGAAUGCUUCCAGUUUUUGUUUUGCUCAUAUGUUCCAAGUGUGUAAAAUUAUUAGGGGUCAGUAAUUUUCUAGACCAGAGCAACCAAAGUUUCUGGAUGAUUGUUAUUACUUAAAUUCCUUUCAACCAUCCUCUAAUGACAUAAUGGGGUAGUAAACUCUCAAGUAUGGAAAAUUAUUGGGGGUCAGUAAUUUUCCUGAACAGAGCAACCAAAGUUUAUUGACCCCCAUUAACCACCCUGUAACA
rnacentral:lncRNA from 1 species